rnacentral:rRNA from 1 species
AUUGAACGCUGGCGGCAUGCUUUACACAUGCAAGUCGAACGGUAACAGGUUAAGCUGACGAGUGGCGAACGGGUGAGUAAUGCAUCGGAACGUGCCCGGUCGUGGGGGAUAACGCAGCGAAAGCUACGCUAAUACCGCAUACGCUCUGAGGAUGAAAGCGGGGGACCGUAAGGCCUCGCGCGAUCGGAGCCGCCGAUGUCAGAUUAGGUAGUUGGUGGGGUAAAGGCUCACCAAGCCAACGAUCUGUAGCUGGUCUGAGAGGACGACCAGCCACACUGGGACUGAGACACGGCCCAGACUCCUACGGGAGGCAGCAGUGGGGAAUUUUGGACAAUGGGCGAAAGCCUGAUCCAGCAAUGCCGCGUGCAGGAAGAAGGCCUUCGGGUUGUAAACUGCUUUUGUACGGAGCGAAAAGGUCUCCUCUAAUACAGGGGGCUCAUGACGGUACCGUAAGAAUAAGCACCGGCUAACUACGUGCCAGCAGCCGCGGUAA